GUCUACGGCCAUACCACCCUGAAUGCUCGCAAUCUCAUCUGAUCUCGGAAGCUAAGCAGGGUUGGGCCUGGUUAAUACAUGGAUGGGAGAAAUCUUGUAAUUCUGAUGUCCCAUUUU
rfam:Cricetulus griseus cell line CHO-K1, whole genome shotgun sequence.